CUUUAUUGGAGAGUUUGAUCCUGGCUCAGGAUGAACGCUGGCGGCGUGCCUAAUACAUGCAAGUCGAGCGAACGGAUUAAGAGCUUGCUCUUAUGAAGUUAGCGGCGGACGGGUGAGUAACACGUGGGUAACCUGCCCAUAAGAC
rnacentral:rRNA from 1 species